AACAGGAUUAGAUACCCUGGUAGUCCACGCCGUAAACGAUGUCGACUUGGAGGUUGUGCCCUUGAGGCGUGGCUUCCGGAGCUAACGCGUUAAGUCGACCGCCUGGGGAGUACGGCCGCAAGGUUAAAACUCAAAUGAAUUGACGGGGGCCCGCACAAGCGGUGGAGCAUGUGGUUUAAUUCGAUGCAACGCGAAGAACCUUACCUACUCUUGACAUCCAGAGAACUUAGCAGAGAUGCUUCGGUGCCUUCGGGAACUCUGAGACAGGUGCUGCAUGGCUGUCGUCAGCUCGUGUUGUGAAAUGUUGGGUUAAGUCCCGCAACGAGCGCAACCCUUACCCUUUGUUGCCAGCGGUUAGGCCGGGAACUCAAAGGAGACUGCCAGUGAUAAACUGGAGGAAGGUGGGGAUGACGUCAAGUCAUCAUGGCCCUUACGAGUAGGGCUACACACGUGCUGCAAUGGCAUAUACAAAGAGAAGCGACCUCGCGAGAGCAAGCGGACCUCAUAAAGUAUGUCGUAGUCCGGAUUGGAGUCUGCAACUCGACUCCAUGAAGUCGGAAUCGCUAGUAAUCGUGGAUCAGAAUGCCACGGUGAAUACGUUCCCGGGCCUUGUACACACCGCCCGUCACACCAUGGGAGUGGGUUGCAAAAGAAGUAGGUAGCUUAACCUUCGGGAGGGCGCUUACCACUUUGUGAUUCAUGACUGGGGUGAAGUCGUAACAAGGUAACC
rnacentral:rRNA from 1 species